AAAGAAUUAGAAGAGAAAUAAAUGAUUCAAUUUUUUUUUUUUAUUCAACAAAAUAUAUUUUUGGACGAGUCAUUGUAAACAACAGGAAAUGAUUAAAUUAUAUAUCCUUAUACAUGGAUGGAUUGAUGAUAAUUGUUGCAAUUUUGAAUAAUAAUUUGAUCCUUAACUUAUAGAUUGAAAAAUAUAUAAUAAAUAUUUAUUAUAAUGAUAUAAAUCUUUGUAAAGAUAAUUAUAACUAUACAUGUGGAAGAUUUUUAUAACUUGUUGAAUGUUUUACUUAUUUUAUUCAAAUGUGUGAAUCUCUCUGUUGAGUGACUACAUUGAUGAUUAAAUAAUUAUUCAAUUAUCCAAGAAGAUUGCAUACUAAAGUAGAAAGUAUGCAGCGCUGUUGCAGACUUACUUUCUAAAAAUUUACACGGAUUAUCCUGACCCAUGAAAAGUAAUUAUACAUCUCUCUACGGUCAGGCCCUUGGUCCAUUGGAGACCAUUCUGUGCCCUUCGACAAUAAACUUUGUGCAUUUCUUAGCAAAAUCCUUGGGCUCAAAUAAAUCUAUGUACAGAAGUGUUCAAUGGACCUCUACCUACCUGCAGAAAACUUUCAAGCGUUAGAUAAGGUCAACGGGCAAUUGAGUGACUAGCAGGCAAACUAUGUCUAUUAUGCUUAAAAAUAAUUUUUAAUAUAUUAUAUUUUAAAGUAAAUUUUUUUUUUUACUCGA